AUUAGUCUAUCCCGACUAGGAUGAACUUUUGUUGUUUCGAUGAGGUCGGUCGAAUCUCACCAAUGACAUCUAACGCCCACCUGUCGCAUCUCGAAAAAUACGAUUCCUCACGAUGGACGCGGAAAAAAUUAUGUUCGAACAGAGUCGCCAUCGAACUUUAUUUAUCCUAAUGAAAGAAUAGGAAAAUAUCGAUAAAACCUUUGAAA
rnacentral:lncRNA from 1 species